AACGCGAAGAACCUUACCAGGUCUUGACAUCCCGAUGCAAACUCUAGAGAUAGAGUCCUUCUUCGGAACAUCGGAGACAGGUGGUGCAUGGUUGUCGUCAGCUCGUGUCGUGAGAUGUUGGGUUAAGUCCCGCAACGAGCGCAACCCUUGACUUUAGUUGCCAGCAGGUAAAGCUGGGCACUCUAGAGUGACUGCCGGUGACAAACCGGAGGAAGGUGGGGAUGACGUCAAAUCAUCAUGCCCCUUAUGACCUGGGCUACACACGUACUACAAUGGCCGGUACAACGGGAAGCGAAACCGCGAGGUGGAGCGAAUCUUUAGAAGCCGGUCUCAGUUCGGAUUGCAGGCUGCAACUCGCCUGCAUGAAGUCGGAAUUGCUAGUAAUCGCGGAUCAGCAUGCCGCGGUGAAUACGUUCCCGGGCCUUGUACACACCGACUGUAC
rnacentral:rRNA from 1 species